UGUCUGCACGACAUUAUUUACUUCUACAGAAUUAACGGGGAAAAAAAUAAUCCAUUGUGCACCCAAACCCUAACCACUUCUUUGAGUUUCUGGAGUCCACUUCAACCCCCUUGAAAUAUAUCCGUUUUACUUUCAUCAUGAAUGAAUUAGUGAUAAAUGACCGUUUUUCACACAAUUUGGGUAACGUCUGAGUCCAUUUCCAAACGAGAGCCUGCCUACCGCCCCCUGGAAAAAGUUUUCUGAAAAUGUCACCUUGCCACGGGUAUGGCCCCAUCAAUUGUACCAAUAGCGAUGAGUUAAUUUCAACCCGGUCUAUUUAUUUCUUCUCCCCUCCAUUGUCGUUUGAAAGCUUUACUGCUCAUUCCCUCGGGAAGGAUAAUGUGUCUUGAAGGUAGCUUUUUGUAUCAAGCAACACUUGAGACAUCACCGCUACCCGGAGGAAUGGUCUCUUUCCCGGUCCAUCAUUUGAUCCCCUUGAAGCGGUCUUCAUUGGCUAUAAAACCAAAGUGCGGUUCACCAGGUUUUACGUUUGAAUCACUUGAUCGAGUGCAUAAAGUUGAAAAGGUACCCUUCAUGCUUCGAAGAUUAGAAACAGGAGCUGUGUGCAUCUUUGGGCAGCAGGUCAAGAGUAAAGAGCAUCUAUGAGUAAGGAUGAAUGAAGCAUGCAAGUGGUGCUUGACAAACGUACAUGAAAGUUUUACUCGCUCAAAUUGUAAUUUAAGACAGGGGGCAAGUUAUUGCCUCUGCGGUGGAAAGUGUUACAAAUUCCUAAUUUUGAGUCUUACAAAUGUUUAAUGGUACCUCUGUGUCAUGAAUUCUUUUUUUUUUUUUCUUUGCGAAAAUAUUUCCCGGACCUCAUUGGUUUCAGAAUAUGUGGCCCUAAAUUGUCAAAUAAUCCAGUGCCUUUUGUCUGACGCUUUUAUUUCGAGACGUCACAAAACGCCUCGCGCACAUUAUGCAUCCGGUAGCCUCGCUAUUUUAUUUAUUUAACCCCCGCCCCAAAAUCACAACUUCACCUCCUUGAUGAUGCGUCGCGGUCGACUGUCACGUUGCUUUGACUUUGCAGGAGGUUGAUUCGAACGGGUGAUUAGUUUCCCCCGAGAUAAUCAUGUCUCUUUGCUAUGACUAAGAUAAUCAAAACUCCAAGGCAACAAUCAGGCUUGCGGGAGAAGGAAAAAAAAAAAAGUAAGAU